GAAGACGGCCAUAAUAGGUUGGAAAUACCUGUUCCCAUCCCGAACACAGAAGUUAAGCUUCCUAUGUUAAUGACUGUAGUGCCCGACAAGGUGCAAACUCAUUAAGCUGUCUUUC
rnacentral:rRNA from 1 species